rnacentral:lncRNA from 1 species
UUAAGAUAUAAUCAAUUACAUACAUUUAAAGCACUCUCGGAUAUCUAAAAUCGGAUCGAGUGGCGAUGCUUCUCGUCGAUAUCUGGAUCAUCAGCAUAAUAUGAAGGUAGAUCAACCCAUCCCUCUAACCAAGCGGCGUUGUAGUCUUGUAUGCUCAAUCCUCGAGGAAUGCACGUCGGGUCAUAAGAACUCUCGGAUUUCUUGCUGAAGCUCUGGCUCAGAGAGGUGUCUUGAUAAUAUAGCUGUGAAGGGGCCCAUCCGAAUAUGCCGGUACCAAAAUCCGACCCGUAAGACCUUCCGGGCUGCGCAGGGUAGUAGCCACCAGAAUAUGACUCCGAUGCACUAUAUCCAUAGGUUGGCUGAGGCCGCGGAUAAUAGGAAGACUCGGAACUUGAUACAUCAAUGGAUUCGACUCCACAUGGGAGGUCAUUUGCAGCUGCAUCCUGGCUUGCUGAACAACCUCGAGGAGCCCUUCUUCGAUAUGCAAUGGUAUCCGACCGGCCUAUAUUAGACGACCUACCGUGGUCUGUAUCUUGUGUAGCAUGCGUAAACUGAGACUCACUGGUGUAUCGAAA